GGUUAAGCGACUAAGCGUACACGGUGGAUGCCCUGGCAGUCAGAGGCGAUGAAGGACGUGCUAAUCUGCGAAAAGCGUCGGUAAGGUGAUAUGAACCGUUAUAACCGGCGAUGUCCGAAUGGGGAAACCCAGUGCAAUUCGUUGCACUAUCGUUAACUGAAUACAUAGGUUAACGAGGCGAACCGGGGGAACUGAAACAUCUAAGUACCCCGAGGAAAAGAAAUCAACCGAGAUUCCCCCAGUAGCGGCGAGCGAACGGGGAGCAGCCCAGAGUCUGAAUCAGCUUGUGUGUUAGUGGAACGGUCUGGAAAGUCCGACGGUACAGGGUGAUAGUCCCGUACACCAAAAUGCACAGGCUGUGAACUCGAAGAGUAGGGCGGGACACGUGGUAUCCUGUCUGAAUAUGGGGGGACCAUCCUCCAAGGCUAAAUACUCCUGACUGACCGAUAGUGAACCAGUACCGUGAGGGAAAGGCGAAAAGAACCCCGGCGAGGGGAGUGAAAAAGAACCUGAAACCGUGUACGUACAAGCAGUGGGAGCACCUUCGGGUGUGACUGCGUACCUUUUGUAUAAUGGGUCAGCGACUUAUAUUCUGUAGCAAGGUUAACCGUAUAGGGGAGCCGCAGGGAAACCGAGUCUUAACUGGGCGUUAAGUUGCAGGGUAUAGACCCGAAACCCGGUGAUCUAGCCAUGGGCAGGUUGAAGGUUGGGUAACACUAACUGGAGGACCGAACCGACUAAUGUUGAAAAAUUAGCGGAUGACUUGUGGCUGGGGGUGAAAGGCCAAUCAAACCGGGAGAUAGCUGGUUCUCCCCGAAAGCUAUUUAGGUAGCGCCUCGUGAACUCAUCUUCGGGGGUAGAGCACUGUUUCGGCUAGGGGGUCAUCCCGACUUACCAACCCGAUGCAAACUACGAAUACCGAAGAAUGUUAUCACGGGAGACACACGGCGGGUGCUAACGUCCGUCGUGAAGAGGGAAACAACCCAGACCGCCAGCUAAGGUCCCAAAGUCAUGGUUAAGUGGGAAACGAUGUGGGAAGGCACAGACAGCCAGGAUGUUGGCUUAGAAGCAGCCAUCAUUUAAAGAAAGCGUAAUAGCUCACUGGUCGAGUCGGCCUGCGCGGAAGAUGUAACGGGGCUAAACCAUGCACCGAAGCUGCGGCAGCGACACUAUGUGUUGUUGGGUAGGGGAGCGUUCUGUAAGCCUGCGAAGGUGACCUGUGAGGGUUGCUGGAGGUAUCAGAAGUGCGAAUGCUGACAUAAGUAACGAUAAAGCGGGUGAAAAGCCCGCUCGCCGGAAGACCAAGGGUUCCUGUCCAACGUUAAUCGGGGCAGGGUGAGUCGACCCCUAAGGCGAGGCCGAAAGGCGUAGUCGAUGGGAAACAGGUUAAUAUUCCUGUACUUGGUGUUACUGCGAAGGGGGGACGGAGAAGGCUAUGUUAGCCGGGCGACGGUUGUCCCGGUUUAAGCAUGUAGGCUG
rnacentral:rRNA from 2 species